UAUAAUGGGUUUGUUUUUAGCUUUUUAAUUUUCUACCAUCCCCUUGACCUCUUGGAAAUGAGGCCGCCAUCUGCUGUAGUAGUUGCACUCAAGGUACAGCCUGGAGUACGUCGGGGAGUAAUGACCAUCCAGGUAGAUCUGAGGUUGUCAUGAAAGAAUAGAGGGAUGCUCCUGGCUGAGGGGACAUUUAUAGCCAGAGGAUUCUUUUGAGUAGUAUUAAUAAACUCUGGUCUUGCUACCUUUAUUUCUUGCAAAUGGUACAUCUCCACUGCCCCAACUGAACACAAACUUCUUUCUAGGAGCAGAAGCAGCAGUUAAGUGUUGCCUCUGUGAAGUUGGUUCGAGGUGAUUUGUGCUUGAAAGCCAGGAAUAGUUGCAAUGCAGUGUCUUUCACUGAUCCUCAUGGCUUAUAAAUAAAGUUUGAGGUCCACUGUUUGAGGCAGUUCUUCAGAUACCACAAAGAAUAUGACACAGUGAUUUCUUCCUAAUGAUAAUGUAGCUUCUUGUUUUCUCGGUCAAUGGAAUCCACUUUUUCUUGUAUAAAUAGAAAAGGUUUUCCUCUGAUGCUAACCCUGAAAGCCACUUCCCUGCAGUCUUAACCAUCACUGGGCACUGACACUUUUUCCUGUUGACACUUGCAGGACUGAUCCUGUGCGUCCCUUCAUCAGUGGGCACGUGGCAAACAGCAUGGCUGCAGAAGUGAUCGCCUUGCUACAUAGCUUGCUCAUGGCACCUGAAUCAAAUGCUGCUCAAAUAUGGACCACAACAGCAGAGAAGGUUCUGUCUCGAGCACUGAUGUACAUUCCACAAUUGGGGAAAUACGCAGAAAGCAUUCUGGAAAAUGGCAGCAGCAGUGGCAGGAAACUUGCCAAACUUCAGAGAAUUGCACGCCAGGCCGUUGCCGCACUGUGUGCACUUGGAGGCUUCAAAGAGACAAUCAAGAUAGGAUCCGAGGUUCAGGUAGAGGAAUUUCAGGAAGCAUUGGAGUAGUGGCUUCUAUCAAUGAACAGGAAGGUAUAGCUACAGUCAGAUUCCCACCCAUAGACUGUAGAAAGACUUCGCAAGCGUCAGACACAUUGACUAUUCCAUUGUCUAGACUUUGUGUUCCAAGAUCAGAGGCAUUGCCUCUUCAUAAACUGUCCAUUACUGAGAAGGUAGUACAGGCAGUCCAGUCCAUGUUGCUUCCUCAGGAGGGAAGUCUCUCUAUUCACACCUCACUUCCUGCAACAGGAGAUGGGUCAGCUCCUGUGAUGGCAGUCGUUCGGCUCCUUGCUGAAAUAAGGACAAGUUGACUUUUUUAGACAAUGAACACUGAUGACUUUGAAAUAUUGUAAAUCUUUUAACAUUAAGAGCAUGCCUGGUCAUGGCCCAGCUUUUAGAAGACAGCUUAUUUUGUGAAGAAUUCAUACAACAAUGUCCAGCAGCUGUUGAAGUUCUUAACCUAGUAGCCCAGGAAUGUAGUGCUGGUGAGUACCUGAACUUGCCUUACCACCCUGUUUUAUUGAAUUUUCUCAGCACAUUUGCAAUUUGAUAAUGGUAUGUUAAGUGUUUUCAUACACACACAUCAAAACAGCCGAGCUGUAAGGACAACACCUGUCACAACUCACGUGCAUCACAGACCUAGAAAUGUAAAUAAAAAGCUUUUAAUCUACACC
rnacentral:sRNA from 1 species